AGGAGGGAUGACGUACAAAUCCUCAUGGCCUUUAUGUCCUAGGGCUACACACGUGCUACAAUGGUUGGUACAACGAGUUGCGAGUCGGUGACGGCGAGCUAAUCUCUUAAAGCCAAUCUCAGUUCGGAUUGUAGGCUGCAACUCGCCUACAUGAAGUCGGAAUCGCUAGUAAUCGCAGAUCAGCAUGCUGCGGUGAAUACGUUCCCGGGUCUU
rnacentral:rRNA from 1 species